rnacentral:rRNA from 1 species
GAUGAACGCUGGCGGCGUGCCUAAUACAUGCAAGUCGAGCGAACGGACGAGAAGCUUGCUUCUCUGAUGUUAGCGGCGGACGGGUGAGUAACACGUGGAUAACCUACCUAUAAGACUGGGAUAACUUCGGGAAACCGGAGCUAAUACCGGAUAAUAUUUUGAACCGCAUGGUUCAAAAGUGAAAGACGGUCUUGCUGUCACUUAUAGAUGGAUCCGCGCUGCAUUAGCUAGUUGGUAAGGUAACGGCUUACCAAGGCAACGAUGCAUAGCCGACCUGGGAGGGUGAUCGGCCACACUGGACCUGAGACACGGUCCAGACUCCUACGGGAGGCAGCAGUAGGGAAUCUUCCGCAAUGGGCGAAAGCCUGACGGAGCAACGCCGCGUGAGUGAUGAAGGUCUUCGGAUCGUAAAACUCUGUUAUUAGGGAAGAACAUAUGUGUAAGUAACUGUGCACAUCUUGACGGUACCUAAUCAGAAAGCCACGGCUAACUACGU